GAGCAAACAUGACAUUUUACACUUUUGUUCUUGUUUUGUUGGUGCAUUUGCAGGACAGUUUCACACUGUUUCACAGCAUUUCAGCCUCACAUGCUACAAACUGUGACCAUCAGGAUCUGCUUUUUAGUAUUUUAAUGAAAUAGAAACACCAUGAAAAACACUGGUUUGACAAGUUCACUGUAACUAUCUCCAUUUGCAGUUUCUUCUGAAUGGGUUCCCUUCAGGAUUCUUGGAACCUUUGGUGCUAUCUGGUGAAUCAGCAAUGUUUCCACCAGUUCUGAGUGGAACCAAUGCAAUCAAAUCCGAAAACAAGCAUGGACAAACUACUAAUGCUGAGAAGGCACAGAAGAAUUGUAUGAUUAAAGAAGUCACAGUUCGCAGUUCAGGUCAAAGGAAAAACUGCAACUUUUCUGGUUACCAACCAAUUUAUUUUUGUUCGAAAUGCUCUGAACAGUUCAAAUUUCUGUGAAUGAAUCGUAAUUUGACCUGGUCAAUGGUGGUGGAAAAGGGGUUAACCCUCUGGAGUCCAGGAAACAACCUUCACAUUACUACUUCAUGGCGUGAAGACAUAAAAAUGAAGCAACAUCAAGCCUUUCCAUCAGCCUCCCUCUAAAGUUCUGGCUUGAAACUCCAUACCAGAUUUUUUUUUGGAUGAUAUUCGGCCAAGUAAAACCGGAGAUAAUGUCAAAUAUAUUUAGUAUAAAAAUAUAGAACUAGAGAUUAUCCUCACUUUACCUGUUAUAUGUUAUAUUUGCAACCUGUGUUCAUAUUUGCAACAUGUAGAUUUCUGUGUGUGAAACAUACUUUUCAAGAUCA